UACGUAGGGGGCUAGCGUUGUCCGGAAUCAUUGGGCGUAAAGCGCGUGUAGGCGGCCCGGUAAGUCCGCUGUGAAAGUCGGGGGCUCAACCCUCGAAUGCCGGUGGAUACUGUCGGGCUUGAGUACGGAAGAGGCGAGUGGAAUUCCUGGUGUAGCGGUGAAAUGCGCAGAUAUCAGGAGGAACACCAAUGGCGAAGGCAGCUCGCUGGGACGUGACUGACGCUGAGACGCGAAAGCGUGGGGAGCAAACAGG
rnacentral:rRNA from 1 species